rnacentral:rRNA from 1 species
UACGAAGGGUACUAGCGUUGUUCGGAAUCACUGGGCGUAAAGCGCACGUAGGCGGCUUUGUAAGUCAGGGGUGAAAUCCCGGGGCUCAACCUCGGAACUGCCUUUGAUACUGCGAAUCUUGAGUCCGAUAGAGGUGGGUGGAAUUCCUAGUGUAGAGGUGAAAUUCGUAGAUAUUAGGAAGAACACCGGUGGCGAAGGCGGCCCACUGGAUCGGUACUGACGCUGAGGUGCGAAAGCGUGGGGAGCAAACAGG